rnacentral:rRNA from 1 species
CCUACGGGAGGCAGCAGUCGAGAAUCAUUCACAAUGGGGGAAACCCUGAUGGUGCGACGCCGCGUGGGGGAAUGAAGGUCUUCGGAUUGUAAACCCCUGUCAUGUGGGAGCAAAUUAAAAAGAUAGUAACACAAGAGGAAGAGACGGCUAAAGCGGUGCCAGCAGCCGCGGUAAUACAGAGGUCUCAAGCGUUGUGCGGAAUCACUGGGCGAAAAGCGGGCGUAGGCUGUUUCGUAAGUCGUGUGAGAAAGGCGCGGGCACAACCCGCGGACGGCACAUGAUAAUGCGAGACUAGAGUAAUGGAGGGGGAACCGGAAUUCUCGGUGUAGCAGUGAAAUGCGUAGAUAUCGAGAGGAACACUCGUGGCGAAGGCGGGUUCCUGGACAUUAACUGACGCUGAGGCACGAAGGCCAGGGGAGCGAAAGGGAUUAGAUACCCUUGUAGUC